rnacentral:misc_RNA from 1 species
AGUUGAAUGGACAUAUCCCGGCACACACGCCCAGCGGCUCCCUAAUACUAUAAGUAUCAAUUCCAUGCGCAACAUUGGAAACAUAUUCACCCAUCUGCAGCGUCCCCAUCCCACAAGCAUGCUCCACCACCUCUAGCCCGCGAAACACAUCCCCUUGAGCAUCCUUAAGCGUCUUCCCUUGCUCCGUAGUGAUGUUCAACGCCAGCUUGUCCAUGUCCCUCCGGAUGAGCUCCUGGAGCUUGAGCAUGACGCGCUGGCGGGUGGUGACGGGGGUGUUGCGCCACUUAGGGAAGGCGGACUUGGCGGCGGCGACGGCGGAUUUAAACUCGUCGGCGGUGGUUAGGGGGACGCGAGAGACGAUCUCCUGAGUGGCGGGGUUGAGGACAUCGAUCGUGGAUCCGGAUCGGGAUUCGACGAAUUGGCCGCCGAUGAGGUUGCGGAUCACCGUCGGUGGAGUUUUGGGGAUCGGCGAAACUUCGGCGGCGGUGGAGAGGCGGGAUAUGGCGAGCGGGGCCCAUGGGCGGAGGGCGGUGGCUCGCCGGAGCGAUGAGCGGAGCAUCGUCGAAGACGGAGGUUGGGUGGGGUUGUAGAGUCG